rnacentral:sRNA from 1 species
UCAGGAUAAACUAAGAGGAGAAGAGGCGUACCUCAUUAUGUUUGAAACAAGAAGAGGUAUAAAAUAGAGGAAGAGGUAGAAUUUGAGAAUGAAUAGACUUGGAAAAGGUAGAGACAAAUUUAGGGGUUUAAACGUACUUGAGCAAAGUUCUUAAGGUUGUGGUGAAUUAUUACUGCUGCUUUAGCAAUUUUUUUAACCUCGGUUCUGAUCUUGACUCUUUAUAGGUCUUCCCAGAGUUUGCUGCUGCCCAUUCAAAUUUAGCAAGUGUACUGCAGCAGCAGGGAAAACUGCAGGAAGCUCUGAUGCAUUAUAAGGAGGCUAUUCGAAUCAGUCCUACCUUUGCUGAUGCCUACUCUAAUAUGGGAAACACUCUAAAGGAGAUGCAGGAUGUUCAGGGAGCCUUGCAGUGUUAUACGCGUGC